GCAGGAGAAGAACUCAGAGAUCAUACAUACUCUCUCAUUGAAAUAAAAUCCUCUAAGAAAGAGAGUAGACAUCAUAGACCACCAGAGGAGGGCGCUGUUUACUCUGAAGGGAAAACAGGAGCUGCAGGAAAGUCAAGUCCAGCAGCAGAGGGUGAAGCAGUUUAUUCUGAGAUUGCUGACAUGUAGGCUGGAGGCUCUGGUGGAUUUUUUUUUCUCUAAUAUGUUACAUGUU